GCCUGACGCAGCGCGCCGCGUGAAUGAUGAAGGCCUUCGGGUUGUAAACUUCUUUUAUUGGGGACGAAGGAAGUGAGGGUACCCAAAAAACAGGCCACGGCUAACUACGUGCCAGCAGCCGCGGUAAU
rnacentral:rRNA from 1 species